rnacentral:lncRNA from 1 species
AUUGAAAUAUAGUCACUUUACUCAACAAUGGAGAUUUUCAUUGCCAGAGAAAUCAUCAUUAGUGUAGCCACAGUGCUGCUUGAGUGUUCACCACCUGUUGAGUCAGCAGAUGCCCUUCGCUUACUUCUGUGUAAGAUGUGAAAGUCAUGUCAAAGUCAUGACUUAGAAAAUUAUGUUCUGUUUUCUAUUUCCUUUAUACUUUGAAAUGUAGUAACAUCUCAGUGAGAUUCUUGAAAGUCUAAGCUAGUCUUGACUUAGGUUAUGGUCUAACCUAGAGCCUGAUGCCAAGAGAAUUCAGUAAAGA